GACGAACGCUGGCGGCGUGCUUAACACAUGCCAGUCGAACGGAAAGGCCCUGCUUGCAGGGUACUCGAGUGGCGAACGGGUGAGUAACACGUGGGUGAUCUGCCCUGCACUUCGGGAUAAGCUUGGGAAACUGGGUCUAAUACCGGAUAGGAGCCAUCUUUAGUGUGGUGGUUGGAAAGUUUUUUCGGUGUAGGAUGAGCUCGCGGCCUAUCAGCUUGUUGGUGGGGUAAUGGCCUACCAAGGCGGCGACGGGUAGCCGGCCUGAGAGGGUGUACGGCCACAUUGGGACUGAGAUACGGCCCAGACUCCUACGGGAGGCAGCAGUGGGGAAUAUUGCACAAUGGGCGCAAGCCUGAUGCAGCGACGCCGCGUGGGGGAUGAAGGCCUUCGGGUUGUACACUCCUUUCGCUAGGGACGAAGCUUUUUUGUGACGGUACCUAGAUAAGAAGCACCGGCUAACUACGUG
rnacentral:rRNA from 1 species